GGGAGCACACGCGUUCAAUUUUUCCGGCAAAAUUGUGUGGUCAAUUUGCGAAUAUAAUGUAAUUGCAAAAAAAAAAAAUUAAAAAUAGCGAUAUUUAUUUAAACUAGGCUAGUAGAGCUAAAAUUAGUGAAAGUUAAAUUUUAAUGUAAUCAAGUGGCUUAUUAAUUUAAAUACUUAAACUCAUUUACUUAUUGUGUUCAAAAUUCUUGUGUUCAUCAGCUUUGCUUAAUUGUUGUGUUCGAAAUGAUCGCAGUGUUAACAAAUGUGUGUGUUAAACGUGAUGAAAUUAAUAAAAACGUUGACUGAAAUGUGCGAAAAUUCGCCAAUUAUGUGAAAUGUGUCAUAAAAACCGACUUACAAAUAUUGAUCUGCACACAAAUAGUAUUAAAAAGUUCUAGUGAUCUUAGUCAAUAGUUUUUAACAUAGGAUAUAAAACAAUCAACAUGUCUGGCGGAUAUAUAAAUCAAGGAGGAGAACUCCGUUCGAACGGAAGAUCUCCACAUAAAUACGUCAUACAGCAGCCUUCAUAUAGUGGAAAACA